UGUGAGUAUAAGUGCUUGUGUGUGCGUGUGCGAGUGUAUUGUAUCUGUGUCUACACACAUGCUGUAAGUCAGAGAUCAACUGACUUUUUGAUUGACACACUUUUCUUACCACUUUAUUGUCUCUUUAGAUUUCGUCUUUCUUCUUCAGGCCUAAAUAUUAUAAUCUCUUAUCAUUGGUGGUUGUCAGGGAGACAGCAAGUCUAGUAGCCCAAACACUGGUGCACCUGUCAGAGUGUGUGAGUACCUGCACAGGUGUGACAGCUGUCUGCUUACCUGAGAUCUACCUGCCGUGAGAAGGAGAGAGCAGGCUGAACUGAAGAGCUUAAUAAGAGGACAACACUGAGCCAAAAUGCCUCCUCGGAAGAAAAAUGACAUUGCAAUUAAAAUGGAAGAGGGUGGGUAGGAUUUAUCCAUUUUGUUUUCCAGAGUGGAAAUAUUUAUUCUUUUGAAUUUCUCUUGAACACUGAAGAGUAUUCAGUUUUUCUCUUUCUUUGAUGUGUUUGUAGUAAAUAUGGAACAGAUGUACUAACUACUACAGAUCUUACUUUGAGCCAGUUUUCUACAACAGGAAAAUAAUUCUGCAUUAACAAGAAAUGUAAAUUAUUAUGUGGAUUAUAAUUAAUGGACAUUUUUGAAGGGGUUGAUACAUUUUUCAUUAGGUCAAAUCAAGUCUGAAAUUUCAAAGUGGAAAUUACAAACAUUAAAAUACUUUUCAAACCUCAAAUACACUACAAGUUUGCAUUUCUCAGCAACAAAAGAGUGCUCAAAUUAAGAUCCUAUCUGUAGAUGUACUAUAACAUGGAACAUAAUCCAUACUGUUAAACAUGAAACAGUAAGAUUGUGAGAUUUUUCAUGGUUCAAAGACAAAGCACAAUAUUUGUAGAGCUUUUGACUGACAAUGUAUAUAUAUUUUUUAUAGUGGGAAUGGAUAUCGAUGGAGAGUUAGACAGUGGGAGUGAGGAUGAGAUCAGGUGGAGAGACAGAAACAGGAAAGUCAAACUCUCUCCACGAGCCGGGGGACGGAAUGGCAAACAGGCCACCAGCGAUGAGGAAGAGAAAGAGGAGGACGAGGCACAGAGGAAGAGGGCUCAUAAGAAAAAGGCCAAGGUCCAAGACAGCGAGGAAGAGGAGGACGAGGAACAGGGGAAGAGGGCUCAUAAGAAGAAGGCCAAGGUCCAGGACAGCGAGGAAGAGGAUGAGGAAGAGGAGAAGAGCAUCAAGUGGAAGGGCCAAAAGGCUGCAGGCAGAAAGAAAAAGGCAGUCAAGCAGGAGACUGAGGAAGAAGAACGAGGGAAGAAAAGGAAAGGCAGAAAAGGGACUAGCAAGAACCAGAAAGAAGGGCAGAACAAGGAGAAGAAGGGCGAUGCCAAAGGGAAAAGUGACGUUAAAGGCAAAAGAGUGAAGGACAAAGGGAACGAGAAAGACAAGAAAAUGAAGAACGCAAAGUACAGCAGGUGCAGUAUCCUUUGAGAGGGCCAUCUCUCUCACAUAUCUCCAUGUUCAACACACCCUCAUGUAUGAAGGAGGAGUCUGACAGACUGUAUUGAUUAAUUAGUUCAGGGAGUUGAGUCAUGAAAUUGGGUUAUAGGGUUGCACAAAAGUGUUACAAAAUGCAACGACAAUGACCUUAGCUCACUAUCUGUCAAGCACUGAAACAAUACAUUUCACACAAUAACACUAUUUCAAUGUGGUGGUUCUUUUCUUUACUAUCAAAUGAGGAGAGACAAACUUAUCACACAAGUCAGAGUUAUACUUAAACUAAAUCUUUAAUAAUGAGAGCUUUGCAAUAGCAAUGACUUGUCAACGAUUCACCAUUUCUAAUGAUCCGUUGAGAAUGGCGAGACAAAAGUACAAAGGUCUUUUAUAGCCAAGAUACACCCCUUUCAACGUACAUGACGAACAACAGAUAUAUAGAAUGGGUCACAAGGUUAAGAUUUGUAUGAAAGAUACUUAUAAUACAUAGCAGACAGCAUCUGCUGUGUCAACAGUUUUCAUUGUAUAGACCAGUGUCUGUCCCUCCGACUCCAAACUGGAAGCAUCUCUCCCUGGUACGGGAUAGAGCAGAAACAUUAACUCAUGUUCUGGAAUGCUCUUUAGGUUUUAUCACCCAAAGACAUCGUAAAUCUCCUCUGUCAGUGUUAUCUCAUAGAGGCCCAUCAUCAGUAGAACACACACACAAUAGUUAACAGAAUACUCUAUUCUGUCGAAUAAAACAACCGUUCGAUGCAAUAAAAGCAUUAUAACAAUCUUGCAAUUUUUCCAUAAUAAUAGUGUAUUACUGAUUUGUAAGAUACAUAUAUAAAAAGGCAACAUUUCCUCUCAGCAUAUAUAUAUAUAUAUAUAUAUAUGUAUAUAUACAGUGCAUUAAGAAAGUAUUCAGACCCCUUGACUUUUUCCACAUUUUGUUAUGUUACAGCAUUAUAAUAAAAUAUGUAUUUUUUCCCCCUCAUCUA
rnacentral:lncRNA from 8 species